rnacentral:rRNA from 1 species
UACGAAGGGUGCAAACGUUGCUCGGAAUCAUUGGGCGUAAAGCGCACGUGGGCGGCUUUGCAAGUCGGAUGUGAAAUCCCGUGGCUCAACCAUGGACGUGCAUUCGAAACUGCAAAGCUUGAGUAUGGAAGAGGGUCGCGGAAUUCCCGGUGUAGAGGUGAAAUUCGUAGAUAUCGGGAGGAAUACCGAUGGCGAAGGCAGCCUCCUGGGCCAGCACUGACGCUCAUGCACGAAAGCGUGGGGAGCAAACAGG